AAGAGAGAUAGUGGGAGUUUAGGGACCAUGACUAUUGUAGUCAAAGGAGAAGUCAAAUGAAGAAGGAGAAAUAAAUCCAAGGGAACAAACUUUCUUUAUGAAAGGAUGGACAUUGGAAGGGGUAUUUACAAGAAAUGUCUUGCAAGUGUCAAGAACGCACCUUUCGAAGGUGUUGUAAAUUGUUCUUGAAUAGUUCAAAACAGUUGGUUCUUCUACUUGAAUGCUUGAAUCUGUAUUAGUAACUAUGUUUUACAAUCGUUGUAAAAGUGCGGCUAAUAAGAAGUACAAGAUUAAUGAGAGAAGAGAAAGUACUUCACAUUCGGAAUGUGAAUCAAAUGUAGAUCUCUGCAAAAGCAGGUAGUACUUACUUCCUCAUAUGAACUACCAAAGAAAAUGGAAAAACAAAAAUUGUCUUUACAUUCCAAUUUGAAUAAAGGAACAUAAUUCCGUAUGAGAAAUGGAUGAAUGUUUUGUUUGACAAAACAUUGUUCUUUAUUAAUGAAUGAUUAGAUUAUUGUAAUCUAAUUGAUUAUCUCUAUAGAGAUGAUAUGGUAGUGUUAACUGUUUAGAAUAUAAUGAUGCUUAAAACCCAAAACGUUGCAAGGUAGUGACUAAUCCCAACUGAGUUGUGAUACCUCUAGAACAUAAAUUAUGAGUUGGUCAUAAAUGGAUGCUUUGGAUCGUUAGAUCCGGAUCCAAUGCCUUCUUGUUAAAAUUGUAUAGAGGCAAAAUGUUUGAAUCUUUAUUCUUUUGGAAAGGAAGAAAGAAUCACAAAGUUGUUGAGGUUAAUUCACUUAGAUGUGAGUGGCACUUGUCCACAACAUAAUACUACUCAUGUUGUAUGACAUUCACCGAAGAUCGCUCUCGGUUGGACUAUCGUUUAUUUUGAAUAAACACAAGUCCGAAUACUUUGCAAAAGGUUUCAAAGAAUUCAAGAAUGUAAGUUGAUGAGUAAGACGUCUACAGUAUUUACCUCCUUAGAUUUGAUCCAAGGAAACGUAACACUUUAGAAUAGUUUCCUUGAAAGAUAUCAAGGAAAGAAGCAUCAUAAGAUAAUGGAUUUCUCCAUUAGGAGAAGAACGAACUUGAAUAAGAUUUAGUUCGUUGGAUGUUAUCAAUUACCCAUAUAUAGGAUAUAUACUUCUAAGACAAUAUGAUUGUCAAUUAGAAGAUCUUCCAAAAUUUUCAUGACCCCAUAGGAUGUAGUUGGAAAGAAAGAUAAGUCUUAAUAGUGUUAAGAUUUGGGGUUGUGUUCUAAUAAGAAAUAUUUGUUUGAGAAUUAUCUUGUGGAUAUCCUUAAAUUAACCUUUGGAUAUCACUUCUAUAAACCAACUAACAAAUGUUGCUUUGUUGGGUAGUUCAUUGUAAUCCUACAAUAUGAUUUGCCUAACGCAAAUGAACGAGAGAUAGAGCUCAAAGAAUGGGUUCUUUGAGAGACAAGAUAAUCAACAAAUAUAACAACCUAGUUCCUACACCACAAGCUCCAAGGUAGUCGAGAAGAAUUUAUCAACCGUCUCAGUUGAAUGGUUUGAACUUUAUGACUAUGUCAUAGAGUUACACCUCUUAAUUCGAAAGAAAUAAGAAUGAAAAUCCUUAUGACUACAUUGAGUGUACAUACAACAUAUACUCAAGGAAAUGGUAAAGUACCAUUUGACCCGAAAUAGUGAAACCUUUAAUAGCUGAUUGGUAGCUUAAGGUGAUUGCAAUCAAAGAGAUUGGUUGAUUUGGAAUAAACCAUCUUUGACGUAGUCUUGGUUUCAAUUAAUUCAAAUAUUGCUAGCUACAACUAAAUGGUGAUUCAAUGUUUGGACAUAAUAUGGGUUCCCAAAACCAUUAUUAAGAUAGUCUUGAUAAUAUAUGUCUAAAACUAUGAAUCACAAGACAUUUAAGUUGUAGGGAUCCAUCCAUCAUGAAUCUUAGCAAGCUAGUGGGAGCUAUAAACGUCUUAUGAGAGAAAGAUCAAAUCAUUUGAUUUCUCAUAAAGAUGUAAAUGAAUCUUUUGUUUACUAGGUUUACAAAAGAUUAGUGGGAGUCAAUCAUGUUCCUAAAUUUGAAUAUAUACAUAUACGAUAUAUUAAUUCUGGAAAUGAAAAAACUACUUCUUCGUUAAAGUUAUGACUUUAAACAUUCUAUAACGAUAGAAUGUAUAUGGGAGACAUAGUCUAUAAACAUGGGAUGGAAAUCUAUAAUGAUAAAUUUCAGGAUAUAAUUGGAUUAUAUCAAGCUCUAAUGAUAGAAAAAAAAUGCUAGGAAGUUUCUCAUAUGAUGAUAAACUUCAAUAAAAAAAACAACUCUAGUGAGACUAGGAGGUAGCUCUUCUCAAUGGGAACGUACCCUUUGACUCCCAAAGAAAUAAUGCGUAAAUAGAAUCCUUUAUGUAUACAUAGAAAGGUGAUUUAAGUAUUUCAUAUUGUAUGAAAAACGUUGAUAUGAGUUGUACCAAGAUCGGUACAAGACGAUAUCAAUGCAAGCCUAGGAUCAGAACCAUGGCAACUGUCAAGUGAAUCCUUAAGUAUUUGAGAAAUAAUAAAGGAUGGAUUCCUCAAGAAUGAGGAAGAAUUAGAGUAAUGUUAUGGAAGCGUAAAUGUAUUAGAUUAUGAAUCUAAUCCAUCAUUGGAUGUUUCUUCAUUAUGAAUAAAGAGAUAAUCAGAUAUCUCUUUAUUAUGACUAAAGAGAUAUUUGGAUGGAAACAUUAAAAGUAAUGAGUUUAGUGUGUUCCAUUGUGAAUGCAAAAUAUAUUGCCAUAAAGAAGCUUACAACAAUGUUGUUUGGAUGAGAAAGUUCAUUCCUGAACUCUCUAUUCGGUUCCAACCAGAAAGUGUCACUAGUGUACCAACACUACGACACUAAUGGGGUGAUAGCUCAAGCUAGGGAAUCAAGGUCUCAUCAUGAUCCGAACUCAAACGAGAGACUAAACCACAUGAUUAAGAAUCAUGUAUAAUGGUGACGUCGUUAUUCUCAAGGUUGCUUCUAUGGAUAACAAAUAGAUAUCCAUUGUCUAAGCCUACUACUCAGCCAUUUUUGAAAUGACUAUAGAAGAGGUAUCAUCAUUGAUGACCAAGCUGAUUGGCUCUAGUGCAAGUGGGAGAUUGCUGGAAAUGUGCCUUAAAACCAAUCUUAUGAUGAUACUUUAUGGACAUUUCACAUGUUAAACUAAUAUAGUUUAAUUUAAAGGGCAAAGAUUAUUGUUUGAAGCCGUCUCAUAUAAAUGUUAUACGCUUAAAUGAUAAGUCCAAGGAAUAUGUAAUUGCGAGAAUGCGAUCUAAAAAAGUUAGAUUCAUGAGACGAUUCUCUUUCGUAUACAUAUCCUAAACGUUCCUGAUCAUAGGAUUGCCAAUUGGGCAUUGACAGUUCGUUAAGAUCAGUACGUGUUAUGUCUUCUCUUAGGGAGAGUGACUGGUCUCAAGUCAUUAGUGUGACUGACACCAAGACAAGUAUGUAGGUGCUCAAUAGAGAAUGAGUUCAUUGAACGCGAUCAACAAGCAGUUCUCAUACUCAUGUCACAUGAGAACUCAUGGUUGGGAUAAUGCAAAGUAGUCCUUUGACCAGAGGCAUCAUAGAUGUCUUGUGGUUAGGUCCUUGAUCUUUGACUAUGUCAAAGUCACUCCAUCCGAGGGUGUCCACGACAUAGUUGGGGUUAAGCCACUUAGCCAUGGAGGCAAGUGAAUGCGCAAUAAGGGAUCUCUAACCUUCAAACUGUUUGAGGGAGAAUACUUUAUGAUAUGAUUAAGAAUCUCUGGCCAGAGUAUGAAUGAGAUUUAGGAGGUCGUUCCAAAUCACAUGCAAGGUAAUCAUAUAAGUAAAUGAAUCACAUUGGAUAGUAGACAUGAAUAAACUAUCAAACCAAACAAUGUGGUUAAAAGUAUUGUAUUAGAGAAAGAUCGUAUUGCAUUGUAAUCCUAAACUAAAUAGGUUCUCCACCUCUUCUGAUUAGCUUGGGUAACCAUGACAUACUGCUAGGUGU
rnacentral:lncRNA from 1 species